rnacentral:rRNA from 1 species
UACGUAGGGCGCAAGCGUUUGUCCGGAAUUAUUGGGCGUAAAGAGCUCGUAGGCGGUCUGUCGCGUCUGCUGUGAAAACCUAGGGCUUAACUCUGGGCGUGCAGUGGGUACGGGCAGGCUAGAGUGCGGUAGGGGAGACUGGAAUUCCUGGUGUAGCGGUGAAAUGCGCAGAUAUCAGGAGGAACACCGGUGGCGAAGGCGGGUCUCUGGGCCGUAACUGACGCUGAGGAGCGAAAGCAUGGGGAGCGAACAGG